UAACCAUGAUGUGGACAGGAAUUCAAAAGAUCUUUGAAUCUCUCCCAUCAUUGGAAGGUCUCUUCCUCUUUUUGGGAGAAAUUCAUGAUCUCCAUCCUUAGCCC